CCUACGGGUGGCAGCAGUGGGGAAUAUUGGACAAUGGGCGAAAGCCUGAUCCAGCCAUGCCGCGUGUGUGAAGAAGGCCUUCGGGUUGUAAAGCACUUUCAGUGGGGAAGAAAGCCUUGGGGCUAAUACCCUCGAGGAAGGACAUCACCCACAGAAGAAGCACCGGCUAACUCCGUGCCAGCAGCCGCGGUAAUACGGAGGGUGCGAGCGUUAAUCGGAAUUACUGGGCGUAAAGCGCGCGUAGGUGGUCUGAUAAGCCGGUUGUGAAAGCCCCGGGCUCAACCUGGGAACGGCAUCCGGAACUGUCAGGCUAGAGUGCAGGAGAGGAAGGUAGAAUUCCCGGUGUAGCGGUGAAAUGCGUAGAGAUCGGGAGGAAUACCAGUGGCGAAGGCGGCCUUCUGGACUGACACUGACGCUGAGGUGCGAAAGCGUGGGUAGCAAACAGGAUUAGAUACCCCAGUAGUC
rnacentral:rRNA from 1 species